rnacentral:ncRNA from 1 species
GUGUUGUAUGAAAGGAGAGAAGGUUAGCACUCCCCUUGAUAAGGAUGGAAGAGGCCUUGGUGGCCUUUACAACAUAUAUACGGUUAAGGCAUUGCCACCUAUUCUGUGGCAUCUAACCAUGUUUAG